rfam:Methanotorris igneus Kol 5, complete genome.
GCCCCCGUGGUCGAGCCAGGAUAAGAUGCUGGGCUUCGGACCCAGUGGUCGAGGGUUCAAAUCCCUCCGGGGGCG